rnacentral:lncRNA from 1 species
GUUCUUGCUCAUGGGAUAAAUUGUGGGAGACUUUUUCCCUUUUUGCUUCUCUGUGUUGUGAUUUCCUAAAGACAGGGCAGUGGUGUCCCUAGACUGCUCUGGAACUGCAGGACCUAACAGCCUCACUGUGUCUGCUCACCCAAGUCUGACAGGUGGCAGGGCAGUGUCUGAGGCCCACUGGGAUGCAGACCCAGGAAAGCUGGGGUGGGGGGCUUCUGGUCCCCAUCUCUGCAGCCUCAUCCUCUCCCCAGCUACACAGACCCAGAUGGUCACUGUCCUGGACCAGAUGAAGGCAGGCACCUACAAGCUCACCUUCGACACUGAGGGCUACUGGAGGAAGAGGGGGCAGGAAAGCUUCUACCCACAUGUGGAGGUGAGAGCCCCAGUGGGCUGGAGGGGGCUGAGGCUCAUGACUCACUGGGAUCUGCAGGCCAGGUCCUGCUGGCCGGGCAUCAUUUAGGCAGUGGGCAGACUGGUCCUGGGCGGUGGCAGGUAGGUGAGCUCACUUGCUUUGAGCUCCCAAAAGAAAGGUGUCCAGGCAGCAAUAGACUCUACGAGGACACACCCGUCACUCACCUGCCCAGGGUCAGGCUUUGUGGGGAGGCUGGGCCAAGGGUGAUUCAUCCCCUCUUUGUUGACAGAGGUUUUCAUCUGAGCCAACUCCAGCUCUCUGGGCCUAACCUCACUGCCUCACCCCACACUGGAGCCGCCGCAGAAGCGCCUGACUUACUGGGCUGUGGCUUCUGUGGAGUGUCCCUCUGGUGCGGAAGGUUCACCCCAUCCCAGACCCUCAGUCUGGGCUGCUGAAUUCUCUCAGGUGUGUUGGGGCCAGAUAGGUGGUUUGCUGCUAUCCCCUUAUACUCUCUCCUGGCCUCUCCAUCUCAGGUUGUUUUAACCAUCACCAGCAAGGCCCAGAAGUUCCACGUGCCCCUGGUCCUACAUCACCUACCGAGGGAGUUAGAGCGAAGACUGGCAGCGGGAGGCUGCCUGCCCGUUCCCGCACGCUGGCUGCACCCACCCAGCCCUCAACAGAGCGGGCUUUGUGCUCAUCAGGGAGCAUUGGCUCACCACUUCCUAGGGAAGUCCCGGCCCCCUGGAGAAUCCCACUGGGCAGCUGUGACUCAGGUGUCAAUGAAGUUAGUGCCAGCACCUGCAAAGCUGUCCAUUCGGUGGGACAACAGUGGCGCGAAGACAGGCAGCACAGCGCGGCACUGCCCCAACCCCCAGGUGAGUGCGGGGCACUCUGAGAAGGUGCCGCCGACUGUGGUCGGAGGUGAGACCAGGGAGUAGGCCUGGACACAGGCUGGACGUGCGGCACCCAGGGAAGGGAGCGACAGGGACACCAUGGGUGAGGGUCCUGCAGGUGGUUCUCCUCCACAGAGCCAGGAAAGAGGAUGGCAAGAACAUGUGAAAAGCUUUCAUUUGCUGAUGAUAAAAUCUAAAAAACUUGCUGUCCUUGGUGUGAUAAGGGGUGUCAUCCCGAGUGUUCCUAGGCUGGUUCUCUGGGCUGUGGCCCCCCAGGGGGGCAGCUACGUCGGGGUGCCCACCAGUCCCGCGGGGCCCUGGCCCAGUGUCUGUCCGAUCACAGCUGUUUCCAAGGGCUUGAAGCCCACGUUGUCCAGAGGGAUCCCGAAGGCCAGCAGCUUUGCCUCAUACGUGCGCAGCAGGUCGUUAUGGGCCUUACAGACCUGGGCCAGCUCAUACUGCAGGUCCUUGAUGGUGCUGUUCUUCGACUCAAGAACAUCCUCCAGCUUGCGGGACACCAGCGUCAGGGCUGCAGGGUCCAGGUUAGAGGCAGCCAGGACCUCGUUGAACUGCACCUCCUUCUUCUCCACAGCGGCGCUCAGAGCCUGCAGCUUGCGUUCUAGCACGAGGUUCUUGAACCCUGUCUUCUGCUGCACCUCCUGGAUGGCUGCGGUGAACUUCCGAUAGAGCUCGUCCCGCUCCUGCUGCACCUUGGUGAAUCGCUGCUCUAACACUUCAUGCUCCCACUGCAGGUCUUUCAGCUCUUUCUCCCUGACUUUCAAACGGGCUUUUGUGCAAAGCAGGAUCUGCUUGUCCCUCUCGUAGUUUGCGAGCUGUUUCUGCAUCUCGCUCAUCUCCUCCCGAGCCUUCUGGAGAGGGUCUGCCAGGCGCUUGUUCUGCCCAGACACCUCUGCCAUCUCCCUCUCCAGGUGGUCCUCCUUCUUCCGCAUGUCCUCCAUCUGCUCCUUGAGGGAGUUGAUGAGGGCCAGGUUGUUGAGGGUGAUGUCGUUGUAGUAGUUCUUAAUGUCGGUGAAGGCCUCCUCGUGGCGCUGCAUCAGCGUGUGGAUCUGGCCAUUCUUCCUCUCCUCCACUUCGUGGAGCUCAGUCUUUCUCCGCAAGUCGAGUUCGUCCCUCAGCAUCUUCAUCUUCUUAUCAUACUUGGCCUCAAUUUCUCGAACUUGCCUCUCAAAAUCAUUCCGCAUCCUGGUGAUCUCCUCGGUGUGUUUCAGCCGCAGGUUCUUCACCACCACCUCACUGGCCAGCUCCUGCUCCUUGAGCUCCACCUUCAGUGCCCGCAUGUCCUUGCGCAGCACACUCUCCUGUAUGCGGUGCUCUUUCUGUGCCAGCUUCAUGACUACAGUGCCCUCAGCCUUCAUCUCUGUCAGGUUGUUCUGGUGCUCAUAUAGCAGGUGCUUCACUUUCUGCUUGUACACCUUGAUCUCCACCUGGUGCCUCUCCUCGGCUUCUUCCAUCUCCCGGUCUUUGUUCCGCAGCUCAGCCUUCUUCUCCUCCAGCUGCCUCCGUGUGAUCUCCCAGAAGGUGUGGAUCUUGUCCCGCUCCAGCUGGAAGUAGUUUCGUUCCUCCCGCUCGCGGUCCAGCUCCUCCCGGAUGCGGCUGACAUGCUCCUCCACCUGGCCAGGUGCAGUGGGUCAGGUGAGGCACUGAGCAGGGGCCCAUGCACGGCAACGGGGCGUGUGGCCGGCGAAAGGCAAGGAAGAAAGAGGGAGGACUCAACUUCACCUAAAAAUAAACAGCUGCUCCUUGCUCAUGUCCUCUGGAGCGAGCCCAUCGACAAUCGGGGUGCCUUUGGCUUUGCCUUUCUUCCCUUUCUUUUUCGGUGCCUGGAAGAGAACAAGAGGACGCCAGCGGGC